rnacentral:rRNA from 1 species
AUACGGAGGGUGCGAGCAUUAAUCGGAAUUACUGGGCGUAAAGGGUGCGUAGGCGGCUUGAUAAGUCGGAUGUGAAAGCCCCGGGCUUAACCUGGGAAUUGCAUUCGAUACUGUCAGGCUAGAGUAUGUCAGAGGUUGGCGGAAUUCCUAGUGUAGCGGUGAAAUGCGUAGAUAUCAGGAGGAACACCAGUGGCGAAGGCGGCUAACUGGGGCAAUCCUGACGCUGAGGCACGAAAGCGUGGGGAGCAAACAGGAUUAGAAACCCUAGUAGUCC